GAGUAUAUACAAAUACACAAUUCAAGUUUACUACAACGAUUGUUCUUAAUCAUCUUCUUCCUCAACUCCGAUCAACGUCGUGUAAAAUCUCAAUAUGGUAUCAUCGACCGGUAAUGCCGAUGGGGCUAUAGAUUCAGUUUCCACUGCACACAUGGCAUGGAUGGAUUAAAAACCCAGCGUGCUUCCAAAUCUUUUGCAUCUUAUAUAUAUUUAAUUCUGGGAAAACCGUUCCUUGCUUAUCUGUCCACUAUGAAUUUCUGAGGCCAUUAAUCAUUUAUUCAUAUGUCGCUAGCUUAGCAUUAGUAGCUUUAUUCUUGUCCCAUUCUUCUAAUCAUCUGCAACCAAUAAUUAAUUCAUAUCACAGUAUCAAUGUUUAACGAAUGUAUUAAUGUUCAAGUUACAAAUAGAAGAGAGUAAAAAAAAUUAGCUAAACCAACGGAGAGAAAGGGGGGGGGGAAUUAUACUAUGGUUUUAUAUUCUUAAUUUCAUAUAUGAUUGAACUUUAUUUAUGUCAAGCACAUUUAGAUAUAUCAUAGAUUAAAUUUCAUUCCUAAUCUUCUACAAAGAUUUAAGAAAAUAUCAUAUGAUACAACUUUAGUGAAGAUAUCAACCAGUUGUUGGGAGGAGCUUACUUGUAUAAUUUCCAACAAACCUUUAAUGACAAGUUCUCUGACAAAAUGGAUGUCGGUUUCAAUGUGUUUAGAACCUUUCUUUAUAACAGUAUUUUUAGCCAUAAAGAUAGCUGAGUUGUUAUCACUAUUUAUGAGUUGGAUAUAUUUAAGCCUAUGUCCUAAAUGCCUACAAAUAAAGUGUGACCAUCUCAUUUCAGCUGCCAAAGAUGCUACGGCUCUAUAUUCCGAUUCUGCACUUGAUCUAGAAACUGUAUUUUGUUUCUUUGAUGACCAGUUAACAAGAUUUUCACCAAUGAAGAGAUAGUAUUCAGAUGUGGAUUUCCUUGUAUCUGGGUCGCCUGCAAAGUCAGCUUCACAGAAUCCUACCAUCCUGUGAUGAUCAUUCAUAUUUUUUGAAAAAUGAAGCCCAUGACUGAGUGUGCCUUUUACAUAUCUCAUAAUUCUCUUUGCCGCAAUCAAGUGUGAGGUUUUUGGUUCAUUAACAAAUUAGGAAACCUGAUUAAUAGAGUAUGUGAGAUAUGGCCUAGUGAGUGAUAAAUAUUGUAAAGAGCCUACUAGUGCUCUAAAACUAGUCCCUUCAUCCUUAGACAAUUUUGAGUUUGGAAGAACAGGGUAUUUACACGGUUUGCAGUUCAACAUAUUAUUUUUACCUAAAAUGUUAAUUGCAUAUCUUGAUUGAUUUAGUUCGAGAGAUUCAUCAAAAUUAUGAAUCACUUCCAUUCCUAGAAAUUUUUUUAGCAGACCAAGAUCUCUACAUAUGAAUUCUUGACAUAAAUGUUUGAUGAAUUUUUCAACUUAAUUCAUUACUGUUAUUUCCAGUAAUGAUUAAGUCAUCCACAUAUAUUAUAACCCAAAUGAGUAUGUUAUCUUGGUUAUAUACAAACAAUAAGGUAUCUGCUUGACUGUUUGUAAAUUCAUUUAAAACUAAGAAACUUCUAAGUCUGAAAUACCAAGCCUUAGGAGCUUGUUUAAGUCCAUAUAUGGAUUUAUUUAGAUGACAUACUAAACUUGAAUGUUCAGGUUCUACAAAUCCUGGAGGUUGAGCGAUAAAAACUUUUUCUUUUAGUUCUCCUUGUAAGAAAGCAUUCUUGACAUCAAUUUGCCUAAGCCUAUAAUUUCUAUUUACUGCUAGAGACAGGACAAUCCUAAUAGUUGAUGAUUUAACUACUGGACUAUAUAUUAAUCCAUAGUCAAUAUUUUCUUGUUGUUUAAACCCUUGUGCCACUAAUCUGGCCUUAUAUCUUUCUACUGUCCCAUCUGAUUUUCUCUUAACCUUGAAAAUCCAUUUGGUUCCAAUUACAUUCAUGUUUUUUUAGCAGGAACUGGUGAGACAUGUCUGAUUACGUCAGUCACUCCCAGGAACGCCCUUCAACAAGGACUAGGGUUCCGUCGCUUUAUGCCGGACCCCCGAAGAGAUCCACGGUGCGGAGUAAGUGUUUACUUCAAGUAUUAAAGGCAACACCUGGUAAUUGCCGACUGGGACUACCAAGUCGCUGAUUCCAGGAGUGCAUCGUCGCCUCCAGACAGGGCACUCGGGUCUGGUAGACCGAGGACCUGACCACAAGGGAGUCGGCGACUCCACCUCUGAAUCGACGACUCCCAUACCUGAGUCGCCGAUUCCCAGCCAUUACUUGGGAGGGCCCACGUCAUUAUGACACCCUUAAUUGGACACCAUAAUGGAGUGGGCCCCAUGCUAAUGAAUGGGGAAGCGCCCCCAAGACCCUAUAAAAGGGGUCCUUGGGGGUCCUCCACUCCCAGGUCAUUCCCACUUGACAGACCCCAACCAGAGCAAACUAAGGAGACCGAGUCGCCGACUCCCACGUGAGUCGCCGAUUCCCCUCCUCUUCUACAGGUACAUUGACGUAGACUCCAAAGGCUCCGGCCUUCCUCGCUGUUGGAUCGAGAUCCGAGGCUAUAAGGGGGGAUAAUAGCCUCUUUUCGAUUUAUGCAAGUUAAUAGCGGAAUUACCUGCACACACUUAAGUACACAUUGAUAUAUUGAUAAGCAAGUAAAUGACCAGAUAACUGGAUAUAUUGAUAAGCAAGUAAAUGACCAGAUAACUGGAUAUAUAUAUGAUAAGUAAAUGCUUGAACAAAUAUAUGAAUAAGGAUUUAAAGCAAUUAAUAUAACCUCAGAUAGUUGACCAGAUAACUGGAUGAGGGAUCUGCGUAAAGUAGUCAACCUCUGUAUUUGACCAGAUAACUGGAAGAGAGAUCCUUUUCAAUUAAGUGUUGUUUAGUUGUUUUUGAUGAAAGAUAAAAACUAGAGUUAACAAAGAACAACACAAGAGAUUUAUACUGGUUCACCCAAACAAGGGCUAGUCCAGUCCCGACCAACUGUCAGAAUUCACUCACCUAAAGGUUAUGGCAAAACCUUAGAGUAUCAAGGAAACUCUUAAGAACCUCUCUAAGCUUUAAGGCUAGUUCGCUUAGGAACCAGUCUUUUACGGGUAGACUCACACCUUAGAGUAUCAAGGGCACUCUUAAGAACCUCUAACUUUUGCGGGUAAGUUAGUACCUUAGAGUAUCAAGGAACUCUUAAAAACCUCUCUAAGCUUUAAGGCUACUUCGCUUAGAAACCAGUCUUUUACGGGUAGACUCACACCUUAGAGUAUCAAGGGCACUCUUAAGAACCUCUAACUUUUACGGGUAAGUUAGUACCUUAGAGUAUCAAGGAACUCUUAAAAACCCUGAAAUCUUUCAAGGUAGACUCGACCUAAGAGUUUUCCCGGAAACUCUAUAAAACCAAACUAGAGCUUUAUGGUUGAGCUCAAAAACCUUCUCUCACACUUUGGUACUAUUGAGACAACCCUCUCAACCAAAGUGGACACACACAAGAGGUGAUUAGAGGAGUGGAAUAUUAAAGCAAACAACACUUCUUACUUGUAAAGAUGAACAAGAAGAUUAGAAGAAGAAGUUGGAGAGCUUUUGAAGCUUUGGAAAGCUAGGACACUUGAGCACUUGAAAGCUUGGAAGCUUGGAGGCAAAAACGUGUGGGCAAGUGUGGAGUGAAAGCUCUUGAGUUUGCUUGUAG
rnacentral:lncRNA from 1 species